rnacentral:rRNA from 1 species
GAAAUGUUUUCCGCGCUGGACCGCACAACAAGUUUGUUGGAAUACAGCGGCAUAGUGGUGGGACCCCCGUAUAUGGUGCGGAUGCCCAGCGCUUUGUGAUACAUUUUCGAAGAGUCGAGUUGUUUGGGAAUGCAGCUCAAAUUGGGUGGUAAAUUCCAUCUAAAGCUAAAUAUUGGCGAGAGACCGAUAGCGAACAAGUACCGUGAGGGAAAGAUGAAAAGCACUUUGGAAAGAGAGUUAACAGUACGUGAAAUUGUUGGAAGGGAAACGCUUGAAGUCAGACUUGCUUGCCGAGCCAUCGGUUUGCAGGCCAGCAUCAGUUUUCCGGGAUGGAUAAUGGUAGAGAGAAGGUAGCAGUUUCGGCUGUGUUAUAGCUCUCUACUGGAUACAUCUUGGGGGACUGAGGAACGCAGUGUGCCU